CACUGUAUACUUUGUUACUGCAAUGUUGUGAUCGUGACAGUCCUCCAAAGAUGGGUGCGCUUCAAAACUGUAUGAGAGUCGUCGGGUGGAUUCCCGUAAUUUUCAUAUCAGCUGUUAUAGCAUGGUCAUAUUAUGCCUAUGUUGUUGAACUGUGUAUAUUCACUCUUGCUAAGGCAGAUCAGAGAUAUGCACAAAUGGUAUUCUACCUGUUGUUCUACCAUGUGUUUCUGGCAAUGUUUUGUUGGUCUUACUGGCAAACAGUCUUCACACCGCUCAGAGUUAUACCAGAACGGUUCUUCUUGAGUAGCUCAGAAUUACAUCGCUUUGAGAGUGAAGACCGAACAGAAAAUCAAGUUGAGAUUCUUCGUGAAAUAUGUCGAGAAAAGAGGUUACCCGUCUUUACAAGGACAUAUGGAGGAGGUAUGAGAUUCUGCAACAGUUGCAAAGCAAUCAAGCCAGAUAGAUGUCAUCAUUGUUCAGUAUGUAACAAGUGCAUUUUGAAGAUGGACCAUCACUGUCCAUGGGUGAACAACUGUGUAGGCUACGCAAACUACAAAUUCUUUGUGCUCUUCCUUCUCUACGCUGUCUUUUAUUGUAUGUACGUCGCCCUCACAGUCCUACCUUUCUUCAUCCAGUUCUGGUCGGGCGGCCUGUCAAACGAGAGUGGACGUUUUCAUAUCCUCUUCCUGUUCUUUGCGGCGGUCAUGUUUGGUAUUAGCACCUCAGUGCUCUGCUGUAUGCACACCCAUCUCAGUCUCACCAAUCGCAGCACCCUGGAAUCUUUCCGUGCUCCUGUGUUCCGCCCCAUGGUCCAGACAGGAGGGUUUAGUCAUGGCAGCUUCGGUGAUAACUUCAAAGAAGUGUUUGGAGAUAAGAAACUUUACUGGCUCUUCCUAUGUUCACAAGCAAAGGGGAUGGUGUAGUGUAUCCAGUACAGUGUAAGGAUGAUGAUUCAGACAGGCUGCUGGAUGAUGGUGUGGAGAGUGAUGUACUCAGUGGAAUGGAAGAAGACAGGACAAGGAGAUUCAGUCAAUGGAGAUCUGCAUGGCAGCAUUAGUGCAACAGCAGGAGCUUCAUAUAACACCAUCAACACCAACAAUCACCAUGUCACUAUUCAGUUGGAAGGAACAAUGGAGAUGCAGGUAUGCCAUGAUUCAUUCCACAACAAAAGGGGUAAUAUCAACCUUGGAGCAGACAUUGAAUCAGGAAAGUAAAGAUUGAAGCAUCACAAAAGGGCCUUACUCCCACCAUCAUCAUGGCAGCUUGAAACAACAAAACAUUGUUUGACUUACAGGGUGCAAUCUCUGACCAAUACUUGCUUUGCUUCUCUUUGAUCAAAUAUCAUUUAUACUCAGAGAAUCCUGUAAUUAGAUUUGAAUUGUAGCGUGUGGAAAUGGUAUGGCAUGGCAGGAAUGUGACCGUUGUGAGAAACAGCUCUUUGUUGUUUCCACUUGUUUUAGUUUGUUUUGCCUUAGUAUAAAGAAAGGACAUGGGAUUAAUUUUUGUAGUUGGCAAUUUCUUUAUUUUUAUUGAUUGGGCUUAUAACUGUCUUGUAUGUGUGAUUAAUGUAAUAUUGUAUAAAGAUUAUAAUCUACUACAUGUAUAAAUGGGAAACUAGGAAUCUUGGUCAAAGAGAACUAAAGCAUUUAUACUGUCAGGCCUUUUACAAUUAUUGACCAUAUUUGUGUGUGUAAGGAUAGUGAGAGCAUGAAUGUAAAGAAAUGUCCAAAGCAUGUUGGAAUUGGUAUUUAACUCUGCCUUUUCUGUAUAUAUAUGGUAUAUAGUAUGUUAUAUUAGUACUAGUAUUUUACAAAGAAGGAGGGUUGAUAACUGAAGAGAUAUUUUGAUAGGAGAAUGCCGACUUUAAAGAGUAUUUUUAACGAAACCCAAGGAUGAAAUGUUUUAUAAAAAUGAAAAUGAAAGAUAUUUGUCUUCACCUCCUUCAUUUGUCUCAACCCUUCCCUCUCUUGUUCUCUCUCUCUCUCUCUCUCUCUCUCUCUCUCUCUCUCUCUCUCUCUCACAUCUUUCUCUUCAUUCUAUUUAUCCAGUAGACCUGUAGAAAGAGUAAAUCAUUUUAUAUAAACUCCGAAAAUUAUUCAAAAAAUUGAAUUUCUAGUGUAAAGAAUUUCUGAAUUCAUUUGUGCUGUAAAAUAACUACGCCUCAAUAUUAUUAUACUUGGCAUGAUUAAACAGAAGUAAUAGAUUCAUGCCACAAAACUUGAUCAUAUUUGAUUGUGUUGGUACAACUAUUAGUGACUUGUCCGUAUACAACUAUUGAAAUGAUAUUCCCAUUGUGUCAAUGUAAACAUGUAUAUAAGGGAAAGUGGAAUUAGCAUUGUAUCGAGCCAUAGGGAAAGACAAAAGUUUUUUGUAAAAUUGUUGAGAAGAGAGAUUGUCAAUGAACAAACAUUUGAAUUGUAUAAAAUGUACAUACCAGUAUACACUCUAUUCUCAUGUAGUAUGUCGGUAACAAAUAUGAUUUGCAAUCGGUGCAAUUAAUUUUGCAUAAGAGCUCAUUUCACUUUAUGCAGAAAAACAUCUAAUCAUAUUCUGAUGCAUGUAAUUACGUGCAUAGGCUGAUCACAUAUACGGCUUCACUAUCUACUUUAUAUGUUGUUACCAUCAACUUGUCUUGAAUCUUGAUACACGACCUAUCACCUUAUGUUAGAAGCCUGUUAUUCUAUGUUAUCACUCCAUUCUUGUUACAAGUUUUAUGUUUUGGUUAUAUUAUAUUGGAGUGGAGUACUUAUUACAUUUUGUUUUUCUAGAAAGUGUUUCUUUGUGCAAGUACACUUACUUUAAGUAUUUAUUUAUGUAUUACUACGUUGCACUUUGAUAAAACUACAUAUGCAAUUCAAUGCUUUAAUAGUAUUUAAAAGUUUGUAAGCAUGACAUUCUAGUGAUGUACAAGAUUACUAAAAAUAGACUCUGUUUGAUAAACAUGAUUAGAUAAUCUUGAUUUUAAGUACUUCCAAAAUUAUGGCUUGAAAAUUGGAUUCGAUAUUGCCAAAUGUGUAACUGUAGAACUAGUACUUGUGGAAGUGUUUUUGUUAUAUUGCUAAGAUAUAUUGCCUCAUUGUAUAAGGACAUUUGUGCUAGCUCAUAAGGUAUCUCUGAAUACAUACACUGCAUAUUUUAUUUACAAGCCAUAACUCUGUUAUUAUUUAAAAUCUAGAUUGCUCCAAUGGUUUUAUGUAUGAAUGCAGCAGGAGGUAUUAUUUGGAAUUCUUACUGAAUGUUAAAGUUCUGUAGAAGGAUGGUUAAAUUAUUUCAUAUACAUGUGCAUUAUGUAAAGUGAGUGUAGAAGGUACAGUAUGUAUGUCUUAUGGUAUUGAGGUUCAUUUAUUUGAUUUGUUUGUGAUUAAAUUAGAUUUGUAUUCUUGAAUCUAGUUAUGCCAUGGCAAUGAAAAGUCAAGGAAAACUUAUAUAGGGAUAUAAUUCUACAUCUAAUUAAUAGAUUGGCUUUUAAAGAUGGUAUUGAAAUAUUGAUCUGUAUGUACACUAAGUGUUUUACUGCCUUAAUUUAAACUCAUCAAUGUUUAACCAAGAUUCAUCUAUUUUGUCUGUGAUACAAUGGUAUUAAGAAUAGUUGUGAACUUUAUUAUCUGUUUGAAAGUGUGGAGGGUAUAGUUAUUAGUGUACACAAUGCCUUCUUGUCAGUGUACUAUACCAGUAAAACAGGAAUGGACAAUGUAUUGUCUGGGUGUGGUUAAGGUACCAGUAAUGUGAUAAGUAUAUUGUAAAAUAACAUUUUAAACUUGUAUAUGUAUGUAUUAGAAGUCAAAGUGGGUCUUAUCUUAAAAUAACAAGUUGUAUUAAUGCAACGAAAAAUGAAUAGGCAGAUUUAUUUUCUCUAUUUUACCUUUUUUCAGUUGAGUAUUUAUCCCCCCAAAAAUAUGUCACUUUUGUUGAUAAUAUGGUUUUGCACAAAAGAAUUUGCUUAAUGUAUUUGUUGGUUCAAUACAAUUUCUUGCUGUUCCUCAAGCUGACAAUUCUAUGACUAUUCACUUGUGGAUAUAUAUAAUCAUUCUUUAAACUACAUUUAAGUCACUGACACAUUCAAUUGGAUAUUGCCAUCCAUUCGUUUUAUUUGGUGAGAUGUUUGACAGGUACUAUUUAUCUUUUGAAAGUAAUACUGAACACUGACCCAAAUUAUGAUGAGAAGUGCAUGUAAUCUAAUGGAUGGUGAUGGGAGAUCUAUUAUUGUAGCAGAAUUUAUUCAUAAUGAGGUACAAAUUAAAUUCAUAUAACAGUUAAACCUUACCACUGUUAUUUUUUGGUCACUUUAAAAAAUGAUGAAUUACGUCAAAACAUUUAUGGAUGUUUAUUAGUAGAUUUUUAGACAAAAUAAAGAACUAUACAACUAUUUUCACAAUCAGAUUGAAAGGUUCAUUAAAGGAUGUGAACUUUCCACCAUGCCUGAUUCAUCUGCACUAUUACUGAGACCAAUCUGCUUGAAUGUCAAAUCACAUGCACAUAAUUCAUUGUAGACAAAUACCUUGUAUGUAAUAGUCACUUUUGUAUGAAUAUGAUUACAUGUACAGUAUAUAUGAAUGACAAUGCUUGUAUCCUACUGAAUCUAAGCAAAAGAGAACAUUGAUCUCAUAUAGCAGUACAAAGAAAAAUUAAAAAAUAAAUGUUCACAUUUUGAGAAAAAGUCCAUUCAUCCAAUGUAGAUGUAUGUGUUAUGCAAUCCUUAUGUACAAUAAUUUGCAAUUUGGUAGGCUGCAGUUUAAUUUAUAGUUUUGGUACAUUCCACACUUUUUAGUCAAAUUCUAAAUACUAGCCACAAUGGCUCAAAACCAUAUUAACAUGCGUAAUGUUUUAGGAAGUACUAGAGUAGUGUUGGUAUCUUUUUAGUUUCACAUGCCGAUAUAUCGAACAGUUACUGUAGUUAUCUCCCAUUUCCCCCCAAAAAAUAAAUAAAAACUGCACGACAUCUUAUUUUAAGAGUUCAUUUGUGUACUGCUUACAUGUUGAAGGAGUUUAUAGUGAGGACACCCACGUCCAAUAUAGACAAUAAAUAAGUCAAAUGAAACUCAAUAGCACCCCUUUGUUUGAUGUGUGAAAGAUACCGGGUAUGUUAUCCAAUAAUACUAAUCUUUUAAUAUCCUGAACGAAAAUGAUUGACUGUAAUCUUCAAGUAAGAGACAUCCUUAAACGUUGGUGUUCAUAUUGGGUUAUAUUUAUUUAAAUCUACUUUACACACUUGUAAUUAACAUUUUUGCUAUGUAGACAUCGUGUUGUGUGCAAAUCACCCUUCAUUUGUUAGUAUUCAAACGCUCAUGUUCCACGUAAGAGUAAAAAAUAAUAAAUCAAUCUGAUCAGUAUGUACAUGUACAAUGUUCUUUAGAAGUAACUGUGGAAUAAAUAAAAAUUGCUUUUAAACGUAAAGUAUGAGAA